UACGUAGGGUGCGAGCGUUGUCCGGAAUUAUUGGGCGUAAAGAGCUCGUAGGCGGUCUGUCGCGUCUGCUGUGAAAAACCCGAGGCUCAACCUCGCGCCUGCAGUGGGUACGGGCAGACUAGAGUGCGGUAGGGGAGAUUGGAAUUCCUGGUGUAGCGGUGGAAUGCGCAGAUAUCAGGAGGAACACCGAUGCGAAGGCAGAUCUCUGGGCCGUAACUGACGCUGAGGAGCGAAAAGCGUGGGGGAGCGAACAGG
rnacentral:rRNA from 1 species